UACGUAGGGUGCAAGCGUUGUCCGGAAUUAUUGGGCGUAAAGAGCUCGUAGGCGGUCUGUCGCGUCGGCUGUGAAAACCUGGGGCUUAACCCCGGGCCUGCAGCCGAUACGGGCAGACUAGAGUACGGCAGGGGAGACUGGAAUUCCUGGUGUAGCGGUGAAAUGCGCAGAUAUCAGGAGGAACACCGGUGGCGAAGGCGGGUCUCUGGGCCGAUAUUGACGCUGAGGAGCGAAAGCGUGGGGAGCGAACAGG
rnacentral:rRNA from 1 species